GACGUAGGGUGCAAGCGUUGUCCGGAUUUAUUGGGCGUAAAGAGCUCGUAGGCGGCUUGUUGCGUCGACUGUGAAAACCGCCGGCUGAACCUACCGGGCGUUGCAGUUGAUACGGGCAGACUAGAGUUCGGUAGGGGAGUCUGGAAUUCCUGGUGUAGCGGUGAAAUGCGCAGAUAUCAGGAGGAACACCGGUGGCGAAGGCGGGACUCUGGGCCGAUACUGACGCUGAGGAGCGAAAGCGUGGGGAGCAAACAGG
rnacentral:rRNA from 1 species